rnacentral:rRNA from 1 species
AUACACACAUCCAACUGUACUACAACUAACUCUAUAAGACAAGAUGUAACUAAAUUAGUAUACUCAAACAAAAUCUAACUCUAAACACCCGCAAGGCUAAUCCAUAACCAUAAAAUUUUAGAAGUGAUAUACUCACCUACCUUUUGCAUAAUGUAAUUGCAAGAAAACCUAACUUAAAUUACUUCCCGAAAAGUGGAGAGCUACUAUAAGCAUUUAUAACUCUUAAUGUGACACUAUUAAGACCCAGCUUACAGUAGCAGCGAAAUACCUAUCGAGCCACUUGAUAGCUGGCUGUUCCUUAAAAACAUAUAAGUGUCUCUUUACAGUAUAAAUCAAACUAACCUCUCUGUAAAAGAAACUCUAAGAGGGACAAGCCCCUUAGGGCCCUAAAGAAAUACUCUAACAACAAAACCUCAUAAAGGCCUAAAAACAGCCAAACAUUUAUCCGUUAUAGGAAAUGACAAUAAAAACCAAAAUAAAAUAUAAAAUUCUGCUAAUUAAGGAACCUUGAUAGAACAACAAAAUCUUUAAUGAACUGGCAAUCAUUAGUAUCUCAACAACACCUACAAGUUAACUCCAUAAACAAAACAACUCCUAAAUCAACCCAACUUAUUCAUCAUUGGUAAUGAAUUCGGCAAAAUUUUUCUUUGCCUGUUUAUCAAAAACAUCGUCUUUUGCCACUUACAUCCAUAAAAGAUACUGCCUGCCCUAUGAUUAUCUAAUUAAAUGGCCGCGUUAGCGUGAGCGUGCUAAGGUAGCGUAAUAAACAGCUCCCCAAUUAGGAGCCAGUGAAUGGCCAAACAAAGAAAAACUCUAUCACCAAUGAUAAGAAAACCUUUCCUCUAAGUGAAAAGACUUAGAUAAAAGAAAAAGACAAAAAGACCCCGCGGAACUUCCUUAAAGCCUUAUACUUAAAUUAAACUUUUGCUUAUAGCUAACUGGUUGGUUGGGGCAACCUUGGAGCAAAUAAAACCUCCAUUCAUUACAAAAAACCAUACAAAACAUAAUAUGGACUACAUUCGCAGUUACCCCGGGGAUAACAGCGUAAUACAACUUAAGAGUACGAAUCGAAAGUUGGGUUUGCGACCUCGAUGUUGGCUUAGGGAAAGCAACUUGGCGCAGCCGCUAAGUUACUAAUGCUAGUCUGUUCGACUACUAACUCCCUACACGAGCUGAGUUAAGACCGGCGAGAGCUAGGUUGGAUUCUAUCUUUUCUUUCCAACUAUAUUCUUUAUUGUACGAAAGGACCCAAAGAAACACAAACAAAAGUGCUAUAAUAAACCAACACAACAACUUAAUACAAAAUC